CACACACACACACACACACACACACACACACACACACACACACACACACACACACACACACACACACACACACACACACACACACACACUUUAAUACAUGUUAGCAUUUACACUGGCGCGCGCACGCGAAAAAAAACAAAACGCUAUGUCGGCACUCGACGUUCACCUAAAAGAGUCGACUCAGUGAUCCGACACACCUCAGAUCAGAGCAGUCCCCUGAGGUAAAAACUGACACCUGAAGCUAGCAGUGAGCUAAAACGUGUCGUGUUUAUUGUUUCUUUUACACCGACAACUGCUUCAAGUUUAAUAAAUAACACAUAACCAGAGAGGGCAUGGUGAGGACAGCAGGGUCGAUGCCAGCACCAAUCACAGCGCCAUAUUGAUAGCGUUAGCGUGACUGCGCCAGCUGAUGAGUCAAUUAGCGCAAUGGCAGCAGAAGAUCUCUGCCUGUUCAGUGGGAUCCCAACACUUUUGAACUCCACGUGAACGCUCCUUCCUAACGUCUUAUUUAACCAGCACAUCCUAGUUUGUAGAUUUGACGACGGAAGACAUCGACUCGAGACCCGACUUCAAAGCGAAGAGCUCGCCUGAGUGACAGGACGUCAGAACUUCAAAGCAGGACUACCAUCCUGUCAUCAUUGUAACACCUGAUAGCGCUUUUUGGCCUAUUAAUUUUACAUGCCAUGUUCCAUGCCGGAGACGGCUGUGACAGGGAGCAGAGCGUAGCGACACAUUCUGUCCUGCAGAUGCUAGGAAACAGAAGCUGGUCCCAUGCGUAACAGGUCGAGUAAAUAUAGCAGCCGAGGCCUGAACGGAGGGACUUGCGGGGGAGAGGGUGGACGAGUGAAAGCAUGUUUUCUGGAACGCACUUCUGAGGGAGAGACAGUGCAUUAGAGCAACGUGGAAGAAAGUCUGAUCAACACAGCAUAAUGGAGGAGUGGGAGAGGAGCAACACACACACACACACACACACACACAGAGACAUUUAUGCAACCAUACAGUGAGAGAAAAAUGCAGAGGGACAUGAAAAGAGAGAGAGAGUGAUGGAACCCGAAAGCAAUGGAGAUGAUAAAAAGAUAUAUACUACAGCGAUGAUAAGAAACAAAAGGAGAGGUGGAAAGAAACCAAAUGAGAAAGAAGGAAGAGGAGAUAGAUGGAGAGAAUAAGUCACGGAUUCAAGCAGAAGUCUAGGGAUAUGGGAGAAGCAAAAGAGUGAAGGUGAUGGGAGGGAGAACAUUCUGGAAAAGGAACGACGGAGUGAUGAAGGAGAGUGAUGAUGAGAUGCAGAAGGAGAUAGAGCGAUGACCGGAUGAAAGAAAGAACGCAGAAGGUCACGUGUAGAACUUUAGGGUGGAGAACAAGGCAGAGAAUCUGAGAUGUGUGAAGGAGGAGAAUAAGAAGGAGAAAGUCAGUACACAAAAAGGUGCAUAAGAACAUAUAAUGAUGGCGAGAAAGAAAGAGAAGCAGAAGAGCAGAAACAGACGGAGCAGAAGUGAUGGAAAGAAACAGAAAUAUAUGAAAAUAGGGAGACUAUAAAAUAGAAAAGAAGCAAGGAGUUGGGGAAAGACGGAAGGAGAAAUGAAGAGAAAGUGCAGGGUUUUGGGGAUAGAGACAGCACGAGUAUAAGAGAGAUAGCAGAAGGAGGGAUGUGGAGGAAGAAGUAUGAAAUGUAGAUGGAGAGAUGAAGAAGGUCUAUAGCAAGACAAAGAGAGAAGAGCAAAAAUGUAGAAAUAGAGGAAGAGGUGGUGAUGGAAAGCAGCAGGAGAAAUGUGAAAAAAAGAAGAGGAAUUUAGAAGAAUACAGAGGAACGGGGCAGAUGGUGAAGUGAGACCUGAGGGAGACGCAGAGACAAGCAGACAGUCUGUAGUGCUAAGUGCUCCUGUCUCUGCACUGGGCUGGAUGGAGGACAGGAAGCUACAAACAGCAAGAAUAGAGAAAUCCUCAGAAGACAGUAAAGAUGUUUGGUGUGAGUGUUCAGGUAUCUCACACACACACACACGCACACACACACACACACGCACACACACGCACACACACACACACUACAGAGCUGCUGGUUUACUCCGAGUUUGUAGCACAGUGCAGCUUCCUAAUUGAUUACAAUGAUUCAUUUGUCAUCUGAAUCAGUCAUUUAUACAGACUGAACAUUCACAUAACUCCAGGAUGGCAUGGU